UACGUAGGGGCCGAGCGUUGUCCGGAAUUACUGGGCGUGAAGCGCGCGCAGGCGGCCCCGCGCGUCCGGGGUGAAAGCCCCGGGCUCAACCGGGGAGCGUCGUCGGGGACGGCGGGGCUUGAGGGCGGGAGGGGCCGGUGGAAUUCCUGGUGUAGUGGUGAAAUGCGUAGAGAUCAGGGGGAACACCCGUGGCGAAGGCGGCCGGCUGGACCGACCCUGACGCUGAGGCGCGAAGGCGUGGGGAGCGAACGGG
rnacentral:rRNA from 1 species